rnacentral:lncRNA from 1 species
CAUCCUCACUUUCAGGCCCAAGGGAAUCCGACCCGCAGCGAUCAGACCCCGCCCCUUCAGGGAGAACACGGCCCGUUGGCCCCGCUCACGGCGAGAGCACCGCCCACAGGCUGAAGAUCCUGCCCCUUCAGGACGGCCGAGAACGCGCCUGCCUUGCACCACCCCCACCCCGCCCCGCGUCCUUCAGGAGAGCCGGAAACGCUCCUACCCCUACUUCGCUUCUGCACGGCCGCGAGAACGCACCUGUCCAGCCCCCUGUUCGCUCCGCCCACUCAGCGCGCGCGGGAGCGCGCGCGGGAGCAGCUCCAACUUUUUCAAUUUGCCGCCAUCUUUACGGCGGCCGACUUCCCAGCCUGCCUCGCGUCCAGGGAGGCGGAGCUCAGAUGAGGUCCGGGGAAUGAGGUGAUUCGCCCAAAAGCACACUACAAAUUGGAGUCACCAGCAGGUCUGCUAUUUUGCCACUAAACCAAUCUGCCGGUUCAUGCUUCAAGCAAAAGUCCACUGGCUAAUGAUCAGAUGGUGAUAACUGGGAAUAAAGACAAUAAAAUGAGAAAAGCAAAAAGGCUGUUAGCUUGCUAUAACAAGGGAGUCAGCCACCAUCAUUUGUAUUUGGAUGAGACUCAAUGUCAGGCAGAGGAGUGGGUCACACCUUGGCUGUAAAGUGUCCUAACAGCCACCUACUUAUGAUUACUGCUUUCUUACCAAUAACCUCCCCAGCCUGUUGUGUGGCUCCUACAUCUUGAACAAAAGCGACCAAGGCAUACAUCUGUAGGAGACCAGAAUAUGCCACCCCAAAAUAUGCCUCCUUGGCCUAAGGAUUAUUCUGAGCUAGUAAUUUUGAGAAACAGAAGCUAUGAAAACAGCAUAAGCUACCCCUUUGAAAGAGAAAUUCACCCCGGCCACCACCCCGUCUGGGAAGUGAGGAGCGUCUCUGCCCAGCCGCCCCGUCUGAGAAGUGAGGAGCCCCUCCGC